rnacentral:rRNA from 1 species
ACAUAAGUAACCUGCCCUAGACAGGGGGAUAACUAUUGGAAACGAUAGCUAAGACCGCAUAGGUACGGACACUGCAUGGUGACCGUAUUAAAAGUGCCUCAAAGCACUGGUAGAGGAUGGACUUAUGGCGCAUUAGCUGGUUGGCGGGGUAACGGCCCACCAAGGCGACGAUGCGUAGCCGACCUGAGAGGGUGACCGGCCACACUGGGACUGAGACACGGCCCAGACUCCUACGGGAGGCAGCAUG